rnacentral:piRNA from 2 species
UCACCAAGGACGUGGGCAACAUCAAGU